GGGUCACAGCUGCGGGCUGCAGGAGACAUUGCUCCAACAGUGCAGUCAGUACUGUGCAUUCUGCCUUGUUUCUGGGGAGGCUGCCGAGCACUGAGGAGCUCUCAUCUGCAGAAGAGCAGGGGCCUUAAAACUUUGGUGUUGUGGAGAAGUGGGGAUGUUGGUGUUGGAGGAGUCUGCUGGCAUAUCUGUAUAUCUCUUUCCAGGAAUGAAGAGGCCAAAGAUCACUCCACAGAAUUUCUUCAUCCCACAGGAUCCAUUUCUUUACGAGCAAUGUUCUUAAAGGAUCCUGGGUGCACAAUAGCUUCAGGGAGGUCUGAAGGUGCGGGUCUGAGCUGUGACUCUCAGGGCAGAGGGGGAAGAACCUUCUUGCGUUACUGUAAGGGAGAGGAAGAGAUGCUGCUGUACUGAGUUUGAUGAGCAGUGGAGGAGCUUGGGCAGAGAUUCCUGUCUUCUCCAGUCAAGAAAUAAUGACGGAAGGAGGAUAAAAAUGGCUAGCACUACUGCUUAAAGGGUGGACAUCUUCUAUCUUGCUGGCAAAACAUCUGGAACUUUUUGUCAGGGUAGGAGUGCAGUCUACAUAUUCUAAAAUUGUCCAAUUUUAACUUAUUGUUACAGUGGUCUACCUGUUUGUAAAGCAACUGUAUUAGCUGCUGCCUGAGAAACAUGAUGUAAUCGUUCAGCUCCUUUUCUUUUGUUAACUCAUCACAUUUUCUCCUUAUGUCUGUUUCCACAGUGCUUGCUCUGCCUAUGCCUCAGCUGAUGACAUCAGCGGCUUUGUAGACAUAUCCUGUCUCUUCUUUCAUCUUCUUGGUGUUAGCCUGGUUAUUUCUACAAAGUACAAACCAAGACUACUUUACAGAGAAGGCAGGAAACAAGAGAGUUAUGACACUGGAAAUGGCCUAUUGUUUCUUCUCUGGCAAACUCCCUCUGGACAGCAGUUCUGGGAACUAGCUCUUUUUGUCAAGUGUUUGUUGUGAGAUGUGUUAGUGGUAUAUACCAUGGUGAAUUUGCCAGGCAUAGAGAUUCCCUUGGGGAAAAGUGCAAAGAAGCACAUUGGGCUGUCUCCAGAAGCAAAUGUUCAGAAAUGCUCUGCAAAGGUGUCUGAAACCUGAACUGUUUCCCAUCCUUAGUAAGGAUGAACACUGUCAGGGAACCCAGUUGCUAGAAGCAGUGCCUCCUGAAAGAUGGGACUUCUGAUUCUUACUUCUGACUAGGACAGAAACUUGGGCUUCACAGAAGUACAUUCUAUGAUAGACGAGAGAAAAUGAAGAUCCUCAAGGGAAGGUUAAGAUAAUUCCUCUUCCUUCCAAAACUGCCUUGCAGAAUCAGUGGAAAAUUUCUGUUCAGAACAAGGUCCUUGGCAAGGAUACACCACCAUCAGGUGAGAAGCAGAUGCCUUCAAGACCAUGCAGAGCAUUUCAACAUUCUUCUUCCUGUUUGCUCCAGGUGUAUCUCAAAAAAUAAAGCUGAGAAUGAUCUUGCCUGUCA
rnacentral:lncRNA from 1 species